GACUGGGUUGCAGGAAAGCG
rnacentral:miRNA from 1 species